ACUUUUACUUUGAACCUAGAGACAUAUUUGCAAUAAAAUGGAGGCAAUUUCUCAAAGACCAACAAAGCUGUGACAACAUUGGUUUCUUCUCUAUGCUCAGCUUUAUGAUAAGGUGAUGCAUCAUCAUCUGUAACUUUCAUCCUUAGAUCCUUUAACAGCAGAAAAAGAAGAAUUAUGAUGGGUGGGCCCUCUGGGCUUGAAUCCAAAUGGGCUUGCCUAAAACAAGCUAAUUUGGGUUUAUUUAGAUUGGACCCAAAUUAGCUUGUUUAAAGUGUGGCCCAUUUUACAUUCUAGGACUUUUUGUAUGCCUCUCCCAACCCCUUUGCACCCGCCAAAAGAGGUUUCCCUAGCCCUUUAAGAGCAUCCCCUGCUGUCGUCCUUGCUUUUCCUUCAAAACCUUACCUAGUAGUGAUGACAAGAAUAGUUGCUGCAGCAGUACUGAUUAAGUCAUUGAAUGCUUCAACAGCAGCAGCAUGAGCAUCAGGAUCUUUGGCAACUGUAGUCUCCCAAAAUCCAGCUCCUUACUAGAGACCUUGAAGCCCUGGGGGAACUACAUUUCCCAGGGAUCUUGGCACCCACAAUGCUGCUGCUGCCGCCACCUAAAAAAGGUCACAGCAGCUCUUCUCACUGCCUGCUGCUUCACUAGGCAAGUUUCAGCAGGCAAGGGAAGAGAGUGGCUGUGGCAGUGUGGAAGGUUGGUGCUGGGGUCAAACUAAUUAUGAGCUGAGUGUUACUAAUUACGAGCCAAAACUUUAGAGAGGUUUGGAAUCAGAUUGUAAUUAAUCCAGAAAUUCUGAACUGAGGAAUUUUGCAUUCUAAAUUCUCCAUUUCCAGACUUGAGCAGCAUCACAGUUAAGAACAAGUGAAAAUAUUUCAAGUGAAGUAGUGCCAGUGAAGCAGUGCCAUCAGUACAGAAGAUUGUUCUGCUUCAAUAGGACUUGUAUGAGCAACUAGGCUGCAGUCCAUUCCCUGAUUCAGCAAGAGAGGUCCACAAUCUGUAAACAGAUUUUACCUUCUAAGCAGCGGGAUACAAAGCAGAAGUCUAAAUGGAGAGAGCAUGGAAGUACCAAACCUGUUUCAGUUGCUGGUCUGGAUAGCCUAACCAGGCACACGAUGUGGUGUAAGCUGGGUAGCCGUAUUUUAACAUGUGUUCUUCUACAAAGAUAUAGAAUGUCACCAGUAAUCAAAUGUGAUUUCCUUGCAACAGAAGCACUGCCUGGGGAAAACAACGGAUUUCCUACAGCCACUAUGCAUUAAAGUAACUAUAAGGAAGGUUCCCUAGAAUAAAUGAAAAUCCUGGGACCCCAAAGGGUAAUUUACCAGUGCUUUUGCCAGGAAAUAGAUGUGGUUUCUAAAAGCAGCAUUUAAAGAAGAGAAUAUUGUUUCCUAAUGCACACAGUGAUAUAACCACCACAGUGCAAAAUCAACUAUUUUCCAGUCCUAUAUUGACAAAGAGUCUUGUGGCAUUUUGAAGGCUACCAAAUUUAUUGUAUCUAUAGUCCACAAAAUCUUAAUCGACACCUGAUGACGUGGGUUCCAGUCCACAAAAGCAUAGGUUACAAUAAACUGGUUAGUCUUUAGGAUGGCACAACAUUCUUUGUUGCUUUUGCGGCAACAGACUAACACAGUUACCCCUCCAGUAGAAGUCCCAUUCCAAGUUUUGGAAGAACCUCUUAGGAUGGAAAUAAAUAACUCAAUACUGCAUAUGAAAGCAUUAUGUUGCUUACCUCUCUCUUUUUUCCCUGUCAGACCAUUCUGAAGUAUCACUAGUGGGAUUAAAAUGGAAAGUACAGCAUUAAACCAAAAUAAGCAACUGAAUUCCUAUUUCCAGGACUAAGGCGCUACUUCUAUAAAGCAAAGUUCGAAUAUGGAUCAUUUUCUAAGUAUAUUGGCUACACUUGUCACACAAAGAAUUAUGGAGUCUGUACAAUGGAAUUAUUGCAGUCAUGAUGUUAGGAGCAGAGAGUUCCCAGUUCAAACCUCAGCAGUCAUGAAUGCAUUGGGUGAUCCUAGGCAAGUCAUGAUGCAUCAGCUUCCUCCCCAUUUAAGAAAGGCAGCAUGUUGAGCACAGAGGAAAAUCACAACAGAAGGAAUAAUUGCUAAUUAUUACACUUCCAAACUUGCUUAUUCUAGACAAGCAUAUAGGACUAAUCUGAAGCAGCAAGCAAAUGUACACUUUAUGGUCUAUUAAAAAUAACUUACUAUAAGCUUC